AUGGGAGCAUCUAUUAGAAAUGGGAUGUAUUGGAAAUUUCGGUUAGAGUUAGAGGCUAUUCACACGUCCAGUAUCAUAAGGAAUUGGAAGCACACUCGUCUGCUAUCGUGCUUUAUGGAGACAAGUGUCUUUUCAGAGGAGUCCUCAGAAAACAGUGUCCUUCUAGUUAGAGGAUCCCCGGGUUUUUUGGGCAAAAAGAAGAUCCUAGUUUCAUUAACCAUACAGGGAUUAGAGUGGCACAGGGAAAAAAAAUGGAACCUUUCGUAUGAAGGGAAUGGGAUGAUAACAAUUGUUCCCUUUUUCUUUUUUAUUUCAAACUAA
rnacentral:rRNA from 1 species